GGUCGGCGGCAGCUACCAUGCAGUCGAGCGGUAACAGAUCCAGCUUGCUGGAUGCUGACGAGCGGCGGACGGGUGAGUAAUGCAUAGGAAUCUGCCCGAUAGUGGGGGAUAACCUGGGGAAACCCAGGCUAAUACCGCAUACGUCCUACGGGAGAAAGGGGGCUUCGGCUCCCGCUAUCGGAUGAGCCUAUGUCGGAUUAGCUAGUUGGUGAGGUAACGGCUCACCAAGGCCACGAUCCGUAGCUGGUCUGAGAGGAUGAUCAGCCACAUCGGGACUGAGACACGGCCCGAACUCCUACGGGAGGCAGCAGUGGGGAAUAUUGGACAAUGGGGGGAACCCUGAUCCAGCCAUGCCGCGUGUGUGAAGAAGGCCCUCGGGUUGUAAAGCACUUUCAGCGAGGAAGAACGCCUAGCGGUUAAUACCCGCUAGGAAAGACAUCACUCGCAGAAGAAGCACCGGCUAACUCCGUGCCAGCAGCCGCGGUAAUACGGAGGGUGCAAGCGUUAAUCGGAAUUACUGGGCGUAAAGCGCGCGUAGGUGGCUUGAUAAGCCGGUUGUGAAAGCCCCGGGCUCAACCUGGGAACGGCAUCCGGAACUGUCAAGCUAGAGUGCAGGAGAGGAAGGUAGAAUUCCCGGUGUAGCGGUGAAAUGCGUAGAGAUCGGGAGGAAUACCAGUGGCGAAGGCGGCCUUCUGGACUGACACUGACACUGAGGUGCGAAAGCGUGGGUAGCAAACAGGAUUAACC
rnacentral:rRNA from 1 species